UCAGUGGCGUACGGGUGAGUAAUGCUUGGGAAUCUCGCUUAUGGAGGGGGAUAACUACGGGAAACUGUAGCUAAUACCGCGUACCAUAGUAUGAGCCCAAGUGGGAUUAGGUAGUUUGUGAGGUAAAGGCGCACCACGCCGACGAUCUCUAGCUGGUCUGAGAGGAUGACAAGCCACACGGGGACUGAGACACGGCAGAGACUCAUACGGGAGGCAGCAGUGGGGAAGAUUGCGAAAGGGGGGCAAGCUGACGCAGCAAGGCAUCGGGAAGGAAGAAGGCCUUCGGGGUGUAAAGUUCUUUAGGUAGUGAGGCGUUAACUAAAGAAGAAGCACCGGCUAACUCCGUUCCAGAAGCCGAGGUAAUAA
rnacentral:rRNA from 1 species